GGCCCUGUGGGACCUCCCGGAGAGAAAGGACCAUUGGGUCCCCGAGGUCCGCCAGGCAUACAAGGCCCACCUGGACAAUCCGGUCAGGAUGGUUUGCCAGGAAAUCCAGGUGAAAGAGGGCCUCCUGGAAAACCGGGUGCUUCUCCAUUGCUUUCUCCUGGUGACAUCAGCCUCUUAGUUAAGGAUGUAUGCAGUGACUGCCCCCCCGGACCACCUGGGCUCCCUGGAAUGCCAGGAUUCAAGGGUGAUAAAGGCACCC